AACGCACGAGACCUGCGGACCUGCGGAAGGAUCAUCAAAGGAUUUUCCUAAAGAAAAAGGGUCCCUACUAAUAAGUAGGGCUCUUUUUCUCCAAACAAACGAUCACAACUAUUGAAAUAACAGAGAGAGAGAAAUUUGGCUUGGGUUGGCUUGGGAAAUUGACUUGAACAAGAACAAGUGUUUGCCUGAUAAUCUGAUCUGAUGAUUUGGAAAAACAAGAAAUAUACAACUUUUAACAAC
rnacentral:misc_RNA from 1 species